rnacentral:rRNA from 1 species
AACGAACGCUGGCGGCAUGCCUAACACAUGCAAGUCGAACGAAUGCCCUUCGGGGUGUUAGUGGCGCACGGGUGCGUAACGCGUGGGAAUCUGCCCUUUGGUACGGGAUAACAGCGGGAAACUGCUGCUAAUACCGUAUGAUGACGUAAGUCCAAAGAUUUAUCGCCAGAGGAUGAGCCCGCGUAGGAUUAGCUAGUUGGUGGGGUAAAGGCCUACCAAGGCUACGAUCCUUAGCUGGUCUGAGAGGAUGAUCAGCCACACUGGGACUGAGACACGGCCCAGACUCCUACGGGAGGCAGCAGUGGGGAAUAUUGGACAAUGGGCGCAAGCCUGAUCCAGCAAUGCCGCGUGAGUGAUGAAGGCCUUAGGGUUGUAAAGCUCUUUUACCCGGGAAGAUAAUGACUGUACCGGGAGAAUAAGCCCCGGCUAACUCC